AUGGUAAUCGGUGAUUUAAAUGAGAUAAUGUAUUCUUUUGAAAAGGAAGGGGGCAAUGAACGCCCAGAUCAAUUUAUGAAGGCUUUUAGGGAUGCAGUGGAAGAGUGUAACUUGUCUGACCAUGGUUUCGUUGGUGAUAAAUUCACCUGGCAUAGAGCUUUGAUCAGGGAGAGGCUAGAUCGUGCUCUCACAAAUGAUGGCUGGAAUCAAAUGUUCCUAUCGCGGUUCUGGAACAUUUGGAAUAUAACAAGUCGGAUCACAGACCAAUAA
rnacentral:rRNA from 1 species